AGAGUUUGAUUAUGGCUCAGAUUGAACGCUGGCGGCAUGCCUUACACAUGCAAGUCGAACGGCAGCAUGGAGAGCUUGCUCUCUGAUGGCGAGUGGCGAACGGGUGAGUAAUACAUCGGAACGUGUCCGUUUGUGGGGGACAACCGUCCGAAAGGAUGGCUAAUACCGCAUAAGACCUGAGGGUGAAAGCCGGGGACCGCAAGGCCCGGCGCAGACGGAGCGGCCGAUGAUUGAUUAGCUAGUUGGGGAGGUAAAGGCUCACCAAGGCGACGAUCAAUAGCUGGUCUGAGAGGACGACCAGCCACACUGGAACUGAGACACGGUCCAG
rnacentral:rRNA from 1 species